rnacentral:rRNA from 1 species
UACGUAGGGUGCGAGCGUUAAUCGGAAUUACUGGGCGUACAGCGUGCGCAGGCGGCUUUGCAAGACAGAUGUGAAAUCCCCGGGCUCAACCUGGGAACUGCAUUUGUGACUGCAAGGCUAGAGUACGGCAGAGGGGGAUGGAAUUCCGCGUGUAGCAGUGAAAUGCGUAGAUAUGCGGAGGAACACCAAUGGCGAAGGCAAUCCCCUGGGCCUGUACUGACGCUCAUGCACGAAAGCGUGGGGAGCAAACAGG